GACGAACGCUGGCGGCGUGCCUAAUACAUGCAAGUCGAACGCUGAAGGAGGAGCUUGCUUCUCCGGAUGAGUUGCGAACGGGUGAGUAACGCGUAGGUAACCUGCCUGGUAGCGGGGGAUAACUAUUGGAAACGAUAGCUAAUACCGCAUAAGAGUAGAUGUUGCAUGACAUUUGCUUAAAAGGUGCAAUUGCAUCACUACCAGAUGGACCUGCGUUGUAUUAGCUAGUUGGUGGGGUAACGGCUUACCAAGGCGACGAUACAUAGCCGACCUGAGAGGGUGAUCGGCCACACUGGGACUGAGACACGGCCCAGACUCCUACGGGAGGCAGCAGUAGGGAAUCUUCGGCAAUGGACGGAAGUCUGACCGAGCAACGCCGCGUGAGUGAAGAAGGUUUUCGGAUCGUAAAGCUCUGUUGUAAGAGAAGAACGAGUGUGAGAGUGGAAAGUUCACACUGUGACGGUAUCUUACCAGAAAGGGACGGCUAACUACGU
rnacentral:rRNA from 1 species